CAUCUAAGCGGGAAGCCUGCUUCAAGAUGAGGUUGUUUCCACCACCCUCGUGGUGGGAAGGCCCCCAGCAGACCACUGGGUUGAUAGGCCGGACGUGGAAGCGCGGCAACGCGUGGAGCUGACCGGUACUAAUUGGCCGACAACUUGCCACA
rnacentral:ncRNA from 1 species